CAGCCGCCACGGUAAAACGUAGGGUGCGAGCGUUAAUCGGAAUUACUGGGCGUAAAGCGCACGUAGGCAGCUAUUCAAGUCAGGGGUGAAAGCCCGGGGCUCAACCCCGGAACUGCCUUUGAAACUAGAUAGCUUGAAUCUUGGAGAGGCGAGUGGAAUUCCGAGUGUAGAGGUGAAAUUCGUAGAUAUUCGGAAGAACACCAGUGGCGAAGGCGACUCGCUGGACAAGUAUUGACGCUGAGGUGCGAAAGCGUGGGGAGCAAACAGGAUUAGAGACCCCCGUAGUCCCUGUCUCUUAUAC
rnacentral:rRNA from 1 species